UUUUACAAAGAGUAGCUACAACGUGAGUUUUAGGCCAAUCUCAAAAAAACAGUCUCAGUUCGGAUUGAAGUCUGCAACUCGACUUCAUGAAGUUGGAAUCGCUAGUAAUCGCGAAUCAGCAUGUCGCGGUGAAUACGUUCUCGGGGUUUGUACACACCGCCCGUCAAACCACGAAAGUUGAUAAUACCCAAAACCGGUCGCCUAACUUCGUCAAAAGAGGGAGCCGUCUAAGGUAGGGUCGAUGAUUGGGGUUAAGUCGUAACAAGGUAUCCCUACCGGAAGGUGGGGAUGGAUCACCUCCUUUCUAAGGAAACAUAAAAUCAUCAUCUUCAGUUUUGAAAGACUUAGUCAAGUUUUUCUGAUUUAUUUUGUUUUUUGAUAUCCUGGGCCUAUAGCUCAGUUGGUUAGAGCACACGCCUGAUAAGCGUGAGGUCGGUGGUUCGAGUCCAUUUAGGCCCACCAA
rnacentral:misc_RNA from 1 species